AGCCAGUGUGGUGCAGUGGUUAGAGUGUCAGACUAGGAACCUGGGAGACCAGGGUUCGAAUCCCCACUUGGCCA
rnacentral:tRNA from 1 species